rnacentral:rRNA from 1 species
AACGAACGCUGGCGGCAUGCCUAACACAUGCAAGUCGAACGAGAUCUUCGGGUCUAGUGGCGCACGGGUGCGUAACGCGUGGGAAUCUGCCCUUUGGUUCGGAAUAACAGUUGGAAACGACUGCUAAUACCGGAUGAUGACGAAAGUCCAAAGAUUUAUCGCCAGAGGAUGAGCCCGCGUAGGAUUAGCUAGUUGGUGUGGUAAAGGCGCACGAAGGCGACGAUCCUUAGCUGGUCUGAGAGGAUGAUCAGCCACACUGGGACUGAGGCACGGCCCAGACUCCUACGGGAGGCAGCAGUGGGGAAUAUUGGACAAUGGGCGAAAGCCUGAUCCAGCAAUGCCGCGUGAGUGAUGAAGGCCUUAGGGUUGUAAAGCUCUUUUACCCGGGAUGAUAAUGACAGUACCGGGAGAAUAAGCUCCGGCUAACUCCGUGCCAGCAGCCGCGGUAA